rnacentral:tRNA from 1 species
GGGGCUGUAGCUCAGUGGUAGAGCACUUGCUUAGCAUGCAUGAAACACUGGGUACGAUCCUCAGCACCACA